CCUACGGGAGGCAGCAGUGGGGAAUCUUGCGCAAUGGGCGAAAGCCUGACGCAGCCAUGCCGCGUGAAUGAUGAAGGUCUUAGGAUUGUAAAAUUCUUUCACCGGGGACGAUAAUGACGGUACCCGGAGAAGAAGCCCCGGCUAACUUCGUGCCAGCAGCCGCGGUAAUACGAAGGGGGCUAGCGUUGCUCGGAAUUACUGGGCGUAAAGGGAGCGUAGGCGGAUAGUUUAGUCAGAGGUGAAAGCCCAGGGCUCAACCUUGGAAUUGCCUUUGAUACUGGCUAUCUUGAGUGUGGGAGAGGUAUGUGGAACUCCGAGUGUAGAGGUGAAAUUCGUAGAUAUUCGGAAGAACACCAGUGGCGAAGGCGACAUACUGGCCCAUUACUGACGCUGAGGCUCGAAAGCGUGGGGAGCAAACAGGAUUAGAUACCCUGGUAGUCCACGCUGUAAACGAUGAGUGCUAGUUGUCGGCAGGCAUGCUGUCGGUGACGCAGCUACGCAUAGUCGACGUCCGCCGUGGGGAGGUACGGUCGCGAAGAAGUUAAACGUACGUAAGUUAAGUUAGUACGGCGUUGAGACGUUGCCGACGGACGACGACGAGGGAGGAGG
rnacentral:rRNA from 1 species